rnacentral:misc_RNA from 1 species
GUUGAGGAGAUUACAGGAUCCAGGUUCACCUCUAUCGACAAGUCCAGGGUCCAAAAUGGUUGCGCCACCAAAGUUGAGAAAGUACCAUAGUGAUGUCCCAGUAUCGUCCCCUCGAGCAAUGUCAUCGCCUAUUCGUGCUGGCAUUCGCUCUGCAUCUCCUAGUAAGCUUAUUGGAUCAUCUCCUUCCAGAGGAAUGCCUAGUCCAUCUCGUGUCAGAAAUGUGGUUAGCACCA